rnacentral:rRNA from 1 species
AUCCGGGUUGCGGACAGUGUCUGGUGGGUAGUUUGACUGGGGCGGUCUCCUCCUAAAGAGUAACGGAGGAGCACGAAGGUUGGCUAAUCCUGGUCGGACAUCAGGAGGUUAGUGCAAUGGCAUAAGCCAGCUUGACUGCGAGCGUGACGGCGCGAGCAGGUGCGAAAGCAGGUCAUAGUGAUCCGGUGGUUCUGAAUGGAAGGGCCAUCGCUCAACGGAUAAAAGGUACUCCGGGGAUAACAGGCUGAUACCGCCCAAGAGUUCAUAUCGACGGCGGUGUUUGGCACCUCGAUGUCGGCUCAUCACAUCCUGGGGCUGAAGUAGGUCCCAAGGGUAUGGCUGUUCGCCAUUUAAAGUGGUACGCGAGCUGGGUUUAGAACGUCGUGAGACAGUUCGGUCCCUAUCUGCCGUGGGCGCUGGAGAACUGAGGGGGGCUGCUCCUAGUACGAGAGGACCGGAGUGGACGCAUCACUGGUGUUCGGGUUGUCAUGCCAAUGGCACUGCCCGGUAGCUAAAUGCGGAAGAGAUAAGUGCUGAAAGCAUCUAAGCACGAAACUUGCCCCGAGAUGAGUUCUCCCUGACUCCUUGAGAGUCCUGA